GUGGUUUAAUUCGAAGCAACGCGAAGAACCUUACCAGGCCUUGACAUGCAGAGAACUUUCCAGAGAUUGGAUUGGUGCCUUCGGGAACUCUGACACAGGUGCUGCAUGGCUGUCGUCAGCUCGUGUCGUGAGAUGUUGGGUUAAGUCCCGCAACGAGCGCAACCCUUGCCUUUAGUUGCCAGCAGUUCGGCUGGGCACUCUAAAGGGACUGCCGGUGUUAAACCGGAGGAAGGUGGGGAUGACGUCAAGUCCUCAUGGCCUUUAUGACCAGGGCUACACACGUACUACAAUGGCCGAUACAAAGGGCAGCGACACUGCGAGGUGAAGCCAAUCCCGUAAAAUCGGUCUCAGUCCGGAUUGGAGUCUGCAACUCGACUCCAUGAAGUUGGAAUCGCUAGUAAUCGUGGAUCAGCAUGCCACGGUGAAUACGUUCCCGGGCCUU
rnacentral:rRNA from 1 species